rnacentral:rRNA from 1 species
GUAGUCUCGCACAGAUGCAUAUCAAUAAGCGGAGGAAAAGAAACUAACAAGGAUUCCCUCAGUAACGGCGAGUGAAGCGGGAAGAGCUCAAAUUUGAAAUCUUGAAAGGUCACCUUUCACGAAUUGUAGUUUAAAGAAGUGUUUUCUGUUACGAUCGUAAUAUAAGUUCUUUGGAAUAGGACAUCACAGAGGGUGAGAAUCCCGUCUAUGAUUGCGAUUUGUAGCUUUGUGUAUACACUUUCAAAGAGUCGGGUUGUUUGGGAAUGCAGCCCAAAACGGGAGGUAAAUUUCUUCUAAGGCUAAAUAUUGGCGAGAGACCGAUAGCGAACAAGUACCGUGAGGGAAAGAUGAAAAGAACUUUGAAAAGAGAGUUAAAUAGUACGUGAAAUUGUCAAAAGGGAAGCGUUUAACACCAGUGUUGUUUUCUGAAAAUCAACCUCUGUUAGCUUUAUGCAUGUUUGUUUAGACCUAAUCAGCUAUCUUUCAUGUUCUAUUGUUUGCAGUGGUGCACUUUUCAGUUUACAGGUCAACAUCAGUUUUUUUUACCGUAAAAAAGUUAAAGAAAGGUAGCUCAUGGCUCCGGUCGUGAGUGUUAUAGUCUUUUUCCUAUGCGGUAGGAGAGACUGAGGUCUGCAGUGUAGGCUAUUUGGCUAGAUACUCAGGUGCUAUGUGAUACCAUUUCAUAAACAACUUGUUGAUUAUGUUUUGUCUAUUGCAUACUCGCUUGUACUAUCAUACCUACGCUUAGGAUGUUGAGUCGUAGAGCACGCAG